CUUUAAGAAGGAUAUCUUCUUGCCUUCUCUUUCCCUCACUGAGGGUAAGAUCAAGAUUUUCUUUAAUCGACGGCACAAUAGUAGAAGAAAAACAUAAAACCUCCGUUUUUCUUCUUCAUUUUAUAUAGGCUACUUCAUUCAUGUGAAACAAUCAUAAAUCAGAGAAAGGAAGAUGAUAAAUAUGAGAGUUUUUUUUAAUCUACUCCUGUUGAUUUGCAGAAGGAUGAAAGAGUGUCAAAUUAUUCUGAUUUUAAAUGGUCUGUCACUGCUGAGGUUGAAUGUUUAGAAUGGAAUCCUCACACAGAGUACUCAUAUGUGGUUUGUGCUUCAGCUUUUACUCGGGUCUAAUUUCUUGAUGAUGCAUCACUUAUCUAUUUGUUCUAUUUAAAAUAGAGAAGAAACUAUGCUUGUUAAUUGGGUGGAUAUAAAAAUAUUUAAGUUUAGGUCAUGUAAGUCUUGACGAUGAUACAGUAAAAAAUGUUGACAUUUAAAAUGUCAAAGUCGGAUUCA